GACGAACGCUGGCGGCGUGCCUAACACAUGCAAGUCGAGCGGGGUUGAGGCGAGAGGUAACUCGAGCUUCUACCUAGCGGCGGACGGGUGAGUAACGCGUGGGCAACCUGCCUCAAGGUUUGGGAUAACAGCCCGAAAGGGCUGCUAAUACCGGAUAUGCCUAUGGCCUCGCAUGGGGCUAUGAGCGAAGGGGAAACCCGCCUUGAGAUGGGCCCGCGUCCCAUCAGCUAGUUGGUGAGGUAACAGCUCACCAAGGCGACGACGGGUAGCCGGCCUGAGAGGGUGACCGGCCACACUGGGACUGAGACACGGCCCAGACUCCUACGGGGGGCAGCAGUGGGGGAUCUUGCACAAUGGGCGAAAGCCUGAUGCAGCGACGCCGCGUGAGCGAAGAAGGCCUUCGGGUUGUAAGCUCUGUCUGGAGGGACGGAACAAAAUAGACGGUACCGUCCGGACGGAAGCCGACGGCGUAACUACGUGCCAGCAGCCGCGGUAAGUCUCGUCUCUA
rnacentral:rRNA from 1 species